UCCGUCGGAUGAGGAUAGGCUCGCGUGACAUUAGCUUGACGGCGGGGUAACGGCCCACCGUGGCGACGAUGUCUAGGGGUUCUGAGAGGAAGGUCCCCCACACUGGAACUGAGACACGGUCCAGACUCCUACGGGAGGCAGCAGUGAGGAAUAUUGGUCAAUGGCCGGAAGCCUGAACCAGCCAUGCCGCGUGAAGGUCAGUGCCCUAUGGGCGUUAAACUUCUUUUGUGCGGGAGCAAUAAGGUCCACGUGUGGACCGACGAGAGUACCGUACGAAUAAGCAUCGGCUAACUCCGUGCCAGCAGCCGCGGUAAUACGGGGGAUGCAAGCGUUAUCCGGAUUUAUUGGGUUUAAAGGGUGCGUAGGCUGUGAGGUAAGUCAGCGGUGAAAUGCCCCCGCUCAACGGGGUGAAGUGCCAUUGAUACUGCCUUGCUGGAAUGCGGAUGCCGUGGGAGGAAUGUGUGGUGUAGCGGUGAAAUGCAUAGAUAUCACACAGAACACCGAUUGCGAAGGCAUCUCACGAAUCCGCUAUUGACGCUGAUGCACGAAAGCGUGGGUAUCAAACAGGAUUAGAUACCCUGGUAGUCCACGCUGUAAACGAUGAUGACUAACCGUCGGCGAUACACAGUCG
rnacentral:rRNA from 1 species